rnacentral:lncRNA from 1 species
AAAAAUUCCUUAAAGAUUUAUACUACCAUCUCUUGAGGACAGUUCAAAUUUGGUAUGUCAUUGUAAGGACAUAAAGACCUUAAAAACUUUAUUGCUCGUUGAUGUGCGAAGUGAACCAGGAAAAGAAGACAAGAAUUAAUAAUUUUUUGACAUGAGUUCAAGGAUGUGUCGGAUGACCUAUAGAGAAAUAUGACUAGACUAGAGCCUCUUUUAAUCUCAAAGACAUGGUAUGGACAUAUUUUCAAGUUUACGGCAAGUUUUAAAUACUUUUCUUGAAGUAAUAAAUGUGUUUCUCAACAUUGGGAUUGGAAUAGAAGUGUAGUUUCAAAUUGAACUCCAUCACUCUGGUAUGUUGAUUUUUAAAGAACACCAAAACAAACUGAAUAAUUUUGUAUAAUAUUUUUUCCUUUUAAGUAUAUAUAAUAAGUUGAAUUGUUGUCCAAUAUGAUAUAGUCUCCCUUUAAUUUUCUAUUUUAAUAAUUACUUAUGAUAUAUUUAAAUGGGGAACUUUAAAAUGAUGUACGUAAAGCAAAAGGGAGGGCUAAGAAUUAAAAUAUUUGUUAACUUUUCUUAGCCUUUUAAAAUUUAUUUAUCUCUUCACUGAUGAUUAUUUAUUUAUUAAAAAAAUUAAUAUCUCAGGUUUAUGUUCAUUUGAUUUCUUAAAAAUAACAAAUAGUAACACUACCUGUAAGCAAAAGGAUAAAUUAUAAAAUCAAAUUAAAGAUGAUUAAUGAAGGAUAAAUGAUAAGAUGUUAUAAGUAUUAUUUUCCUUUACAUUAUUAAUGUUCGUUACUAUGUAAUCUUGUAUGUAAGAGAUAAUAUAGUUGUUUAGUUUUAAUGACUGAUACGUUUUUAAGUAUUAUUUUAUAAAUUCUGUAAUAUUAAGUUCCCGCGCGAGGCGCGAAUAAUUUUACUAGUAUAUAUAUAUUUAUAUAAAUCUUGCUAAUAUUAUGCUACUCAAUUUUGAAAGUAAAAGAAUAUGAAAUUUCUGAUUGUAAUAUAAUUGCUUAUGCUAACAAUUAGUGUUGCGUGAGCGCAAUAUUAUAGUCUGAUAAAUAAAAUUAAGAUUUUGAGAUCACCUUUUUUUUUUUUAAAAGAGUGAUAAUACUUCACGGGGUCUUGUUCAAAAUGAGGAUUUGAGAGAAGAAAAGGUAGAAGGACAAAAGAGUAUUUUGGUAAAGUAUUUUUUCUUAUACUAUACUUAUUGAUAUGGAUCCUAAAAUAUUGAUGCGACUCUCUUUUUCUUCAAUACUCGUGCGAUUUGCCCAAUCUAAUACAACUUUGUGAAUGACCACCUCGAUUGCCGAUCAAUCUACAGUAGAGACUGACCAGACUUACUCCAAAAAAAAAAUCCAAAUCUUUACCACCCAAAUUCUCCUCAAUAACCGCUAAAUGUGCCUAUUGAAGAUGUGAAUACCCUUAAUAAUAAUUUAGUUCUAAAUGAAGACAAUACUGAUACAAGAAUAUAUGCAUGCAGAUUUGGUGAAACCCCGUACUAUCAACUCACAACUUAGAUGUAAGCGGGGUCACGUUGAGUUGAUCCCUAUCAUGGGUUUAUUUUGUAUAUCAAGGAUGUUUUCCAUAACAAUGCAGAAUAUGGAUUCAUCAGUUUUUCCAGAUGCAGAUGCAGAUUUUGAGUUGAUCUUCUUGAAAGUCAUCUCGAUGUUUUUGAACUUUGAUUUUUUUUAAGAGAAGAGAUGAGAAGUAAAGAUUGUCCCACUGGGCGUGCAAAUUUGUAUGCGUCUAAAGUUUCAAUUCUGAAAUACAACAAACAGGAAAGGAAAAUAGCAAGCAAACAACAAUAUUUGUAUUUGAAGUUAUGCGAAGGUUACAAUCUUUAUAAAAUCUUUAAGAAAAGAUAUGUAAUCCCCUGAUUCUUCUCUUCACAGGUGUUCUUGAUUUGAUGAAAUACUUGCGGCUCAAGAAUACUUGCGGCUUAACACUUGGAGCGAAGACUUCUUUGUAUGCGGAAGACUUGCAGAUCACCACUGAAAAGCAAGGAUUCUCUAUGUAUUUCUCUGUGUGUAUUCUUCUUUUUCUUCCUCCUUUUUGUCUUAUGAGGAAGAAAAAGAAGAAUACACAGAGAAACUUGAUUCCAAUGGAAUUUUUCACAACUUGAUUCCUAUAGAAACUUACCAUAAUUUGGUUUUUAGGAAAAUUUACCAUAAUUUUGUUUCAAAUAUGGUUUUUCCAUAAUUUCUAAGAACACAAUUUAUGUACUUUUGAUUUCUAUAAAUACACAUGCUCUUACAAUGG